rnacentral:lncRNA from 1 species
CAACUCACGUUCUUAAAUACCAUUACCAUUCUCACGUUCCUCUUGUAAUCUUUUUGUUUUUCUCUGUUGAUUGCCUCAUUACAGGGAAACAAGUGUUAAAAACGUCGCUAGCCGAAACUAACUAGUUUUGGAAAGUCAAGCCAGCAAAAACCAAGACAGGUAGGAGCCAAACUGUUAUAAAAUCAGAUUGAAUCUCUCCAUGACCGAAACUCUUUCGUCCUCAUCAUUGAUUUGUGUAGAUUCUUAAUCCAAAACCAGCAACGCUGCUGCUCCACAGGAAAAAACGAGGUCUUGCUCACUUCCAAGUUUUAAGCUCAACCUGUGAAAAACCAGAAGCCAAUUCAUCUAGUUUCAGCAUGGUAUAUUUGUACUUGAUAAAUAGAAAACUAAACGAAACCCGUGUGUUCUGUGAUUUGAUGCAGAUUUUGACAGCACCAGCUUUGCCUGCANNN